UUAUUCAAAACUUGUUUUGAAGUUCUGUUUUCAAUUGCUAAAAUGCUAAAACCCAUUGGCUGAACAAAGUUCUCAGUUGCCUGAACUCAUUUAGCAAAUG